rnacentral:rRNA from 1 species
UGCGCGCCUACCAUGCAAGUCGAGCGCGAGAGGCUUCGGCCAAUCGAGCGGCGAACGGGUGAGUAACGCGUAGGAAUCUGCCCAGUAGUGGGGGAUAACUCGGGGAAACUCGAGCUAAUACCGCAUACGCCCUACGGGGGAAAGCAGGGGAUCUUCGGACCUUGCGCUAUUGGAUGAGCCUGCGUCGGAUUAGCUAGUUGGUGGGGUAAAGGCCUACCAAGGCGACGAUCCGUAACUGGUCUGAGAGGAUGAUCAGUCACACCGGAACUGAGACACGGUCCGGACUCCUACGGGAGGCAGCAGUGGGGAAUAUUGGACAAUGGGGGCAACCCUGAUCCAGCCAUGCCGCGUGUGUGAAGAAGGCCUUCGGGUUGUAAAGCACUUUAGGUCGGGAGGAAGGUUCGCUGGCUAAUAUCCAGCGGAAUUGACGUUACCGACAGAAUAAGCACCGGCUAACUCCGUGCCAGCAGCCGCGGUAAUACGGAGGGUGCAAGCGUUAAUCGGAAUUACUGGGCGUAAAGCGCGCGUAGGCGGCUCGUUAAGUCGAUUGUGAAAUCCCCGGGCUCAACCUGGGAAUUGCAGUCGAUACUGGCGGGCUAGAGUGUGGGAGAGGGUGGUGGAAUUCCCGGUGUAGCGGUGAAAUGCGUAGAUAUCGGGAGGAACAUCAGUGGCGAAGGCGACCACCUGGCCCAACACUGACGCUGAGGUGCGAAAGCGUGGGUAGCAAACAGGAUUAGAUACCCUGGUAGUCCACGCCGUAAACGAUGUCGACUAGCCGUUGGGCACCUUAGAGUGCUUUGUGGCGCAGCUAACGCACUAAGUCGACCGCCUGGGGAGUACGGCCGCAAGGUUAAAACUCAAAUGAAUUGACGGGGGCCCGCACAAGCGGUGGAGCAUGUGGUUUAAUUCGAUGCACCGCGAAGAACCUUACCGCCCC